GAUAAACGCUGGCGGCGUGCCUAACACAUGCAAGUCGAACGCCCUUUUGCGCAAGUGAGAGGGAGUGGCGGACGGGUGAGUACCACGUGGGUACCUACCUUGAGGUGAGGAAUACCACCGAGAAAUCGGUGACAAGACCGCAUACGCUCGGGCAACCGAGCAAAGUCAUGCAAAUGACGCCACAAGAUGAGCCUGCGCCUGAUUAGCUGGUUGGUGAGGUAACAGCUCACCAAGGCGACGAUCAGUAGCUGGUCUGAGAGGAUGAUCAGCCACACUGGGAUUGAGAACGGCCCAGACUCCGUACGGGGGCGA
rnacentral:rRNA from 1 species